CCUACGGGAGGCAGCAGUGAGGAAUAUUGGACAAUGGGCGCAAGCCUGAUCCAGCCAUGCCGCGUGCAGGAAGACGCAUCUAUGGUGUGUAAACUGCUUUUGUACGGGAAGAAACACCCCCUCGUGAGGGGGCUUGACGGUACCGUAAGAAUAAGGAUCGGCUAACUCCGUGCCAGCAGCCGCGGUAAUACGGAGGAUCCAAGCGUUAUCCGGAAUCAUUGGGUUUAAAGGGUCCGUAGGCGGUUUGGUAAGUCAGUGGUGAAAGCCCAUCGCUCAACGGUGGAACGGCCAUUGAUACUGCCAGACUUGAAUUACUAGGAAGUAACUAGAAUAUGUAGUGUAGCGGUGAAAUGCUUAGAGAUUACAUGGAAUACCAAUUGCGAAGGCAGGUUACUACUAGUGGAUUGACGCUGAUGGACGAAAGCGUGGGGAGCGAACAGGAUUAGAUACCCUGGUAGUCCACGCCGUAAACGAUGGAUACUAGCUGUUCGGGGCAACCUGAGUGGCUAAGCGAAAGUGAUAAGUAUCCACCUGGGGAGUACGUUCGCAAGAUGAAACUCAAAGAAUUGACGG
rnacentral:rRNA from 1 species